AACGAACGCUGGCGGCAUGCCUAACACAUGCAAGUCGAACGAGAUCUUCGGGUCUAGAGGCGCACGGGUGCGUAACGCGUGGGAAUCUGCCCUUUGGUUCGGAAUAACAGUUGGAAACGACUGCUAAUACCGGAUGAUGACGAAAGUCCAAAGAUUUAUCGCCAGAGGAUGAGCCCGCGUAGGAUUAGCUAGUUGGUGUGGUAAAGGCGCACCAAGGCGACGAUCCUUAGCUGGUCUGAGAGGAUGAUCAGCCACACUGGGACUGAGACACGGCCCAGACUCCUACGGGAGGCAGCAGUGGGGAAUAUUGGACAAUGGGCGAAAGCCUGAUCCAGCAAUGCCGCGUGAGUGAUGAAGGCCUUAGGGUUGUAAAGCUCUUUUACCCGGGAUGAUAAUGACAGUACCGGGAGAAUAAGCUCCGGCUAACUCCGUGCCAGCAGCCGCAGUAAAAC
rnacentral:rRNA from 1 species